GCAUCCAUGGCUGAAUGGUUAAAGCGACCAACUCAUAAUUGGUAAAUUUGCGGGUUCACUUCCUGCUGGAUGCA
rnacentral:tRNA from 1 species